GAGGGAGAGGGAGAGAAAGAAAGGCGUGCGCGUGGUGGGGGAACUGCAAAAAGCCAGAAAUGGGGUGGGGGGAAGUGCCAUACAAGCCUAGAUCUGGCAUGCUUUUUAUUAUUAGAUUAUUUUACCACUCAAUACCCUUUUCUGCCUAACUGCACUCUUUAGCCAGCGCUUCGCGUUUUGUUUUUUCUCUCUCGGUCUCUCUCUCUCUUCUGAGGUUACUUCUAGCAGCGAUUCAAUGGCCACUAUGCAAGCCGAAGGAACUCAGGCAGUUGCAAAGGUUGGGGGGGGGGGGAGCAUGCAAAGUUGAUCUGCCAGCGGAAACUAGCCUGCUUUAAACAAAGUCCUCCGUCCAUGCCAGAAUCUUGUAUUCAAAGAGAUCUCUGUGUGCGUGUUUCCUUUUCUGUGUGAAACCACUACCUUUUAGCUGUUGUUGUCGAAAUUACUUUUCCAGGAGCAGAAGAUAGACCAACCCCAUUUGGCAUCGUUCUUCAUUAAGUGAUCGCUUCCAUCAGCAACGCUGUGUUAUGUCUUUGGAAAGGGGGGGGGGUGGAUGAGAGAGGGAAAUCUUUUUAGGUUUUGCUCGGAGGCUGCCAGGAGACUGGAAGGCAAAAUCACUAUCUUAAAAUAGUGGUGUAGAUUUGAAUGGGUGUUGUUGUUGUUGCUGCUGCUGUUGAUUUAAAUGGGCCAAUCUGUCCUGUUAUUGUGAACAUGUACAAUUUUACCUGUGUUUUGUGGAACCUGUGCUUAAGGUACUGCCCUGGUAAUGUCUUUUUACGGCUAUGUUAAUUACAGCGAAGUUAUUCAGCAAAUCGAGUGAAAUGGUGCCCCAUUCUUCCGUUUCCAAGGAUCAAAUGAACUUUUGAAAAUACACACAACACACUUUCUUCGCCUUUCUCCCUCGCUCCUUCUCUCUCUCUCUCUCUCUCUCACACACACACACACACACACGCUACCUAUCACGUUAGUGUGUAUGUGUUUGUGCAGCUUCCUCCAAUCACUUUGCUGGAACUAAAACAUGCCUUACCUCAGAGCAGUCAAUUACCAAAGCUACCCGAGAUCAUCAAUCAUGGGGAAUGCUUGAAGUUUAGGGGAGGAGCAAUGGUCAAACUAUUGAUUGCUGCAGUUUUGUACUCCCCCCUCCUCUCUCUCUCUUUCAUGCUCCCUGAACAUAAAAUCUAAACCAGACAAUACUGUUAAUAGUGGGGUUUAUCAAUGUAUCUACUUGUGAAUGUGGCCUCGCACAUACAUAGCAUUGAGGGGGGGAGAUCAACUCCCCCCAAAACAAUGACACCACUGCUUAAACUGGGAAGAGGGAGAGUCGGAGGGAGACUCGGUUCUUCGUAACAGGGUCACAGUGAAGGAAAGUUGGGGAGGAAAGGGAGGGAAAAAUCACCCAAGUGGGGGUGGGGUUGGCUCUAGAAAUUUGGCCAGAUUUUAAUGGGCGAAGGGAAUGUGCUCCAGAGGUCAAUAAAGCCCUCCAAAAUGAUGAAUGAUUGAGUACCUGUGAUGAUGAUAGUGAUUACCGGAGCAAUUAAACAGUUUGAUUAAAUGAGCCAUCAUAACAAUGAUGUCUGCGGGAAAUCAGCCCUCACAUAUAAAGAAAGAUAGCAUGGAGAGAGAGGCUGACAAACGCCACUGGGCAUGGCUUCGCUUUCCGAGAGCGCUCAGCCUGGCAAAGCGAGAGAGGCUGAACGCGCCGCUCCAGAGGCGAGCGAGGCGAGGAAAGGAUCGGCGAGACUUUAAGCCAGACUUGCUUCUUCCAACACCCUCUGAAGCUGCGGAGCCAGAUCCAGGACGCUGCUUUUCUUCCCCCCUUCUCCCCCCCCUCCGUUUCUUCCCUCCCCUCUUCCUUUCUCCCCUCUAGAGGACCUCUUCCAAGAUUAAAGCCGUCCUGAAGAGCAAGCGUUCUCCUCUGUGGCUGACUUGCCCGGGACUUUACUGAAAGCCCACAGAGAACGAUGCUACUCAUAUUGGAUACUGAAGAUGCCAGGUGCUUAUACUGGCAUUCAAUACCUGGUAAGUCCUCUUACUGUAUGUACACAAUUUUAAAUGGUGGUUAUUCUUAGGUCAGUGUGUGUACGAUUGCAGCCUUAGUCAAGUUUUAGUCAGGAGAAGACUAGCUAGGAUUCAUACAUGCAACCCACCUUCCACACACCCAUAAGAUAAAGUGAAACAGUUCAGGAAAGACCUUACCACUUGAGUCUACUGGAACACGGUUAUUUCUUUUUAAAUAGUGCCAGACAAAAUAGGGCAAACAAAAUAAAUAGGGCAAACAAAAUGUUGGGUGAAAUCUUACACUGAACUCUGCAAAAACAAAAACAAACAAACAAAAAAACUCCCACUGAUGUUAGCAUAUGAAGUCUGCAGCCGAAAAC